UACGUAGGGUCCGAGCGUUGUCCGGAAUUAUUGGGCGUAAAGAGCUCGUAGGCGGUUUGUCGCGUCUGCUGUGAAAUCCCGAGGCUCAACCUCGGGUCUGCAGUGGGUACGGGCAGACUGGAGUGCGGUAGGGGAGAAUGGAAUUCCUGGUGUAGCUGUGGAAUGCGCAGAUAUCAGGAGGAACACCGAUGGCGAAGGCAGUUCUCUGGGCCGUAACUGACGCUGAGGAGCGAAAGCGUGGGGAGCGAACAGG
rnacentral:rRNA from 1 species